CCCUUAGAUGCUCUGGGCCGCACGCGCGCUACACUGGUCGAUGCAACGAGUUUCUUUCCUUGGCCGACAGGCCUGGGCAAUCUUUGAACAUCGAUCGUGAUCGGGAUAGAUUCUUGUAAUUUUUGAUCUUAAACGAGGAAUUCCUAGUAAACGCAAGUCAUCAGCUUGCAUUGAUUACGUCCCUGCCCUUUGUACACACCGCCCGUCGCACCUACCGAUUGAAUGGUCCGGUGAAAUCUCCGGACUGGCGUGAGUCGGAGCAAUCUGACAAACACCGGAAAGUUGAUUAAACCUUACCAUUUAGAGGAAGGUGAAGCCGUAACA
rnacentral:rRNA from 1 species